rnacentral:lncRNA from 1 species
CUUUGACAACUGUGAGCUUGCAAUUACUCUUUGGUAGAGGGAAACUUGACUCUAUCCUUCUCCUUUUAAGCAACUUAAAUCUGAGAAAGAUCAUGACCCCUCCCUCCGGCUUUAGGGGUGGUUCUGAAGUGCAGCCCGCCACCUUGUGGCAGAAACCACUGCUGCAGCUGUGCCUCGGGACAAAGGCAAGGAGCCUAGCCAGCAUCCCACAAGGUUUACCUUUCAGCCAGUGUUUUUCUUGUCAUGUAUUGCUCAAUUUAUUCCUAUUCACUGCAAAGAUGGUGACCGAACAAACAUUGGCCUCAAAUUUGAAAAUUCAUGAAAGUUGUUUUCCAGUAUCACUCAGCAGAUAAGAACUUAACCACCAUUUGCUCUCCUGCAGUCAUUUAAGAGAAAGGACAGCGUGCCUUCCACCCCUCCCCUUCUCACCAGCAGCCAGGGUGGUUAUACCUAUGAAUGUACAAAAAGAACUCACAGACAUUGUGGAGAAGCCACCGACUAUCACGUCAAAGGCACACCAACUCCUUUUCCCCCUCUUACAGUCAGGACAAAAACUGGGCUAAAGAGUUAUUUGCAUUGCUGUUUUUUCUCAAGGAUGUAGUUUGUUCUUUCAUUGAUUUUAAUUUUGAACAAAACCCAGCAAGAACACCAUCUACGGACACAAAUUACAAGAAAUUGGCUUCAGGUGGGAAAGACACAAGUGUAUGACUUCUUUUUCUCUAGCACUUUUCAAAGAUGUUGAUGAGGAAGACACAGCCAAUCAAACUGCAAACACCCCUCUCCCAACAUACCAAAGCAAUACCACCUGCCAAGUGAAAGUUGAUUUCCAAUAUCACUCAGCACAUACCCACACCCACAUUUAGUUCUCCCAGGAGGAAGUUUUUACUAGGGAGCUGGAAAAGCAGAAAGGGAAGGAAAGGGGGUCCAUGGUAUCUCUUGAGCCUGCUGGCAACCCACUCCACCUCUCUGGAAUGAGCAGCUAAGGAGUCCAAAUCAUUACAGGAACUACUGUACCAAAGGGUAUAUAUAGUUCAGCUACACUCCUACUGUUGUCCUCAACUCCAACCCUAUAUUUAUAGUUGUAAAAGUGGUGUCUGGAUUGAGUCCUAACACUAGUCCACAGGCAGUCAUUAGAUAUGGUGAUUACCAUCUGUAUCUGCCCUCACCUACCUGGCUGUAUCCUGGAUGGCACCUGGUAAGUAAGGAUAUAACUUGUCCUAGUCCCCUGGGGGUUUAAGAGAAUUGCAGGGGGUCCUGCAGCAGAGCCGUGGUUCCCAGGGCUUCAAGCUCUCAGAACCUCACCCACCCACUCUUCCUGUGUUCACACAGCACCCAGGCCUGCUGGCACGUUCCUG